UACGGAGGGUGCAAGCGUUAUCCGGAUUCACUGGGUUUAAAGGGUGCGUAGGCGGGCAGGUAAGUCAGUGGUGAAAUCUCCGAGCUUAACUCGGAAACUGCCAUUGAUACUAUUUGUCUUGAAUAUUGUGGAGGUAAGCGGAAUAUGUCAUGUAGCGGUGAAAUGCUUAGAUAUGACAUAGAACACCAAUUGCGAAGGCAGCUUACUACACGAUGAUUGACGCUGAGGCACGAAAGCGUGGGGAUCAAACAGG
rnacentral:rRNA from 1 species